CUGCUGCCUUCCGUAGGAGUCUGGGCCGUGUCUCAGUCCCAAUGUGGCCGGCCAACCUCUCAGUCCGGCUACUGAUCGUCGCCUUGGUGGGCCGUUGCCCCACCAACUAGCUAAUCAGACGCGAGUCCAUCUCAGAGCGAUAAAUCUUUGGCAGUCAGAGCCAUGCGACUCAACUGCAUCAUGCGGUAUUAGCAGCUGUUUCCAGCUGUUAUUCCCCACUCCAAGG
rnacentral:rRNA from 1 species